CCAUAGUCUCCAAGCCGGUCUCCACAACACCACUAGCCUCAGUGCCUCUCUCCACAACACCAUUACACUCUGAAAGUGCAGAAAAUGAAUUAUGUACAGCAACAGACUGUGCAAAAUGCCUUUUAUCCACAACUCUAAGUCUACCAGAUCCUACAGUAAUCCAUCUGCCAUUCCUAGUAUGUUUCUGCGGCAGUGGCUUUGCAGCAGUUCCAG